rnacentral:rRNA from 1 species
UACGAAGGGGGCUAGCGUUGCUCGGAAUCACUGGGCGUAAAGCGCACGUAGGCGGAUCUUUAAGUCAGGGGUGAAAUCCUGGAGCUCAACUCCAGAACUGCCUUUGAUACUGGGGAUCUCGAGUCCGGAAGAGGUGAGUGGAACUCCGAGUGUAGAGGUGAAAUUCGUAGAUAUUCGGAAGAACACCAGUGGCGAAGGCGGCUCACUG